rnacentral:rRNA from 1 species
UAACGUUCCCGGGUCUUGUACACACCGCCCGUCAAGUCACUUGAAUCGUCUUCACCCGAAGCCCGUGGCCCAACCCGCAAGGGAGGGAGCGGUCGAAGGUGGAGGGGGUAAGAGGGACU